rnacentral:rRNA from 1 species
GACAGAGGUGCCAAGCGUUAGGCGGAAUCACUGGGCUUAAAGCGUGUGUAGGCGGCCCGUUAAGUACCUUGUGAAAUCCCACGGCUCAACCGUGGAACUGCUGGGUAUACUGGCGGGCUUGGGCCACUCAGGGGCAGACGGAACAGGCGGUGGAGCGGUGAAAUGCGUAGAUAUCGCCUGGAACGCCGAAGGUGAAAACAGUCUGCGGGGGGUGUGCCGGACGCUGAGACACGAAAGCCAGGGGAGCGAACGGGG